rnacentral:tRNA from 1 species
GGUGUAUUAGCUCAGUGGUUAAAGCUCAGGCCUUGUGACCAGAAGGUCCCGACUUCGAAUCUCGCUAGAGCA